UACGUAGGUGGCAAGCGUUGUCCGGAAUUACUGGGUGUAAAGCGCGUGUAGGCGGGAGGCCAAGUCUGCUGUGAAAUCGCCCGGCUCAACUGGGCGGGUCGGUGGAAACUGGUCACCUGGAGGACGGUAGAGGCGAGUGGAAUUCCCGGUGUAGUGGUGAAAUGCGUAGAGAUCGGGAGGAACACCAGUGGCGAAGGCGGCUCGCUGGGCCGGCCUGACGCUGAGACGCGAAGGCGUGGGAGCGAACGGG
rnacentral:rRNA from 1 species